ACAGACAUCAAUCAUUAGUUAAAUGUCGCUAGCCCCUGACCUGGGCUGGCAACUGCCCAGCAACCUAGAUAGUCUGUUUUGUGGGAUGACAGCAUUAUCCUUGAGCCUCAGACCACACAAUGUCUGCAUCCCAAAAUAGCACCCUAUUCCCUAUAUAGUGCACUCUGGGCCCUGGUCAGAAGUAGUGCACUACAUGAGAAUAGGGUGCCAUUUGGGAUGUAGCCAAACACACUCUGUAGGUUGUCAAGGAAACACAUGCACACAUGCAGUGUAAGCCUGCUUAGAGAGGAGGGAGAGGAAGGAGAGAGAGGGGAUGGGGGGGAGAGGAAGGAGGGAGAGAGCGAGAGAGAGGAGGGGAGAACAGAACGUUUAAAAGCUGGUUGUUGACUCCAACAAGGGAUAAAGAGUGGAUGUUGGACUGAGGCCCUUUGUGUUGUUACUAAGCAACAGUGAGACAUUAUCUUAUAGUUCAACUAUAUUACAAGGCACUUGUAUUAGUAUAACACUGGCACUGUCUGAAAUACUGAUGUUGACAGAAAAAAGGUGAAAGCAAAGGUUAAACAAAGCAACGUUUAAUGAGAGAGGGUGGUGUCUGUCAGGCGGAGGUCAUGGCUUCAUUUUCCGUUUAAUGAGAGAGGGUGGUGUCUAUCAGGCGGAGGUCAUGGCUUCAUUUUCCGUUUAAUGAGAGAGGGUGGUGUCUGUCAGGCGGAGGUCAUGGCUUCAUUUUCCGUUUAAUGAGAGAGGGUGGUGUCUAUCAGGCGGAGGUCAUGGCUUCAUUUUCCGUUUAAUGAGAGAGGGUGGUGUCUAUCAGGCGGAGGUCAUGGCUUCAUUUUCCGUUUAAUGAGAGAGGGUGGUGUCUAUCAGGCGGAGGUCAUGGCUUCAUUUUCCGUUUAAUGAGAGAGGGUGGUGUCUAUCAGGCGGAGGUCAUGGCUUCAUUUUCCGUUUAAUGAGAGAGGGUGGUGUCUAUCAGGCGGAGGUCAUGGCUUCAUUUUCCGUUUAAUGAGAGAGGGUGGUGUCUAUCAGGCGGAGGUCAUGGCUUCAUUUUCCGUUUAAUGAGAGAGGGUGGUGUCUAUCAGGCGGAGGUCAUGGCUUCAUUUUCCGUUUAAUGAGAGAGGGUGGUGUCUAUCAGGCGGAGGUCAUGGCUUCAUUUUCCGUUUAAUGAGAGAGGGUGGUGUCUAUCAGGCGGAGGUCAUGGCUUCAUUUUCCGUUUAAUGAGAGAGGGUGGUGUCUAUCAGGCGGAGGUCAUGGCUUAAUUUUCCGUUUAAUGAGAGAGGGUGGUGUCUAUCAGGCGGAGGUCAUGGCUUCAUUUUCCGUUUAAUGAGAGAGGGUGGUGUCUAUCAGGCGGAGGUCAUGGCUUCAUUUUCCGUUUAAUGAGAGAGGGUGGUGUCUAUCAGGCGGAGGUCAUGGCUUCAUUUUCCGUUUAAUGAGAGAGGGUGGUGUCUAUCAGGCGGAGGUCAUGGCUUCAUUUUCCGUUUAAUGAGAGAGGGUGGUGUCUAUCAGGCGGAGGUCAUGGCUUCAUUUUCCGUUUAAUGAGAGAGGGUGGUGUCUGUCAGGCGGAGGUCAUGUCUUCAUUUUCAUAGACACAGGGCUGGCCACAGAUACAAUGAAGCAUGACACUGUCUGAUGCGCUAAGAUUAGUAAACCUAGUGUAAAAUCAUCUAAUUAUAAGUAGUAUAUAAAAUGACCAAUUGUUUACAUAAUGAGUAACUUGAUGAAUAUCAUAGAUAAUAGCCUACAUCAAGUACCAACAAUCAUUAUUAUGCUUGACAGUCACAGGGGCAGCCACUGAAAUGCGGGAAUGCCUAGUUAUGCCUGGAAUUAUAAUUGACCUUCCCACCCAGCAGCGAAGCGCAAUCUGCUCCAUAGGCGCGUAUUUUGCGAACAGUUUGCUGCGGGCCGCAAAUUUCACGAUCGAACAUAUUUGCUUAUAGUAUGCCUACCAAUAACGUACAAAUAAUGCUUAUAAAAUAGCAUGACAUGUUGUAAAUCAACAUAUAACGUUACCUGCACAACAAAAUCAAUGAGCUAUUAGUCAAGCGGAUUUGCUGCGUGACAGCAUCAUAGAGAUU